CAUCCCCCCCGCCGGCGCCGCCCAUCGCCCGGUUGCACCUCCUCUCGCCCCGCCCCUUGCCCUCACCUGCUGGGCGCUCGCGUGGGUGGGGUCGCCUCGCGCCAGGCGAGCCAGGCCGCGCGCGCUGCCCCCUGGAAUAAUCCCCCGAGUCGCCAGCUGCGGCUGGUCCUGACGGUUACUAAAUCACGAAUGCAAAACCGUCAGGGUCGUUGGGUUGCCAACCCUCCAGGAUUGCCCUGGCAUCUCCAGGAAUUAUGUGAUGAAACCCCCAGGAAUACAGCCAACCAAAGUUGGCAACCGUAGCCCCCCCCCCCCCAUAUGCCACAUCGGGGCUCCCAUGCAAAGCGGGGCCGAGGAGGUGGGUAGAGCAUGAGGUUGUGAAACAGUUACCUUCCCCCCUUAAAAAUGACAGUCAGUAUUUUUUUAAUAUUACAUGUCACUGAUAAUGGCAAGGUAACUUUGAAACAUUUCCCCCUGCCUUUGACUACUUUUCAUCUGUAAUCUGCCCACAGUUUUUUUUUAUAGCUGAAAUGAUAGCUUUUGUAAAAAAUAACAUACUCAGAAAUUAUACAUAUUCACAGUCACUUUGAAAUAAUCUCUGCCCCUUUUUAGUCCAGCCUUUAAGAAUUUGCUCUAAGGCCUGAUCUACACUACAACGUUAGACCAACACAAGCUGCCUUGCGUCAACCUAGUUGUGCACUUAAAUUUGUCUCCCACCAGUGUAAGUGCCCCGUUACGCCAACAUACUACACCACCUCUCCAAGCAGUGGGGAACCAAAGUUUAUGAGGUCGACACAUCUUGCUUGUAGAGACUGUGUUACUUAUGGACCCUAGCAGUCCUCCAGCAACUCUCCCACAAUGCCUUACACUGACCACUCUGGUCACCAUUGUGAACUUCACUUCUUAGACCCGCAAUAGAGGUCUCCCUAUGGGAUGGGGAGCAGGCAGAUACCGGACACAGUGUUGGUAUAUAAUACGCUAAAUGCUCUUUAUUGAUUACAAAACAAACCUUACUCACUCCACAUUCAUACACCAAACAUACCAGAGUCCAAAGGUCAGAAUGGUCCCGAUGGCCAGUUGAGAUUCCUUCCAUCCAUAAGAUCAUAAAAUGCCAGGAGCUGGCAAAAACCACAUCUAUAUCCACACGGGAUAAACUACUCUUAUUUGCGGAAGUCAUUGGCAAUAUUUUAUAGUCCAUUCCAUCACGUCAUCGGUUCUUUGCCUUUGUUUACUAGGCCUUCUACCCACACAAUUCCAUAGAGACAAUCCUGGGCAGGCCGCCAUGAUCCAAGUCGUGCCAUUUCUUCCAAUUCUUAUACAAUUUUAUAUCAAUCCAGCUGGUGUUGUUUCCUUUUCUGCUGAUUCUCUGUAUUUUUCUCGAAACAUAACAAGAUUGCUUUUGCACAGAGAGUUCUAAUAGUUCUUUACCUUAAGUUCUUACUUUGGUUGCCAACUUGCAAUGCAUGUAUUCAUGUCAAGCAUGCUUCAUUCAUACCAGGCCUCAGUGACCUAUAACAUAUUGCAUGGAUAUGUGAAUCACAAUGUAUAUAUAUAUAUAUCUAUAUAUCCCAACACGCUGUCCCAGGGUCAUGUAGACCAGAAGGUCCCUCUCCCCUUUAAAGCCCUACACAUUUCUGAAAUUCCUUUUCCUGAUUUCCCAGUUUGGCGACCACACAUAGCAGCUCUCCACUGUUUAGUGCAACUGCCUGGCUAACCAUGCCAGCUGCAUGCUCCAAAUGCACUCUGGCUUGGAAUAGACAAGAGAUAUUGGAUCCCCUGGGUCUGUGGGGAGAAGAGGCUGUGGAGGCACAGCUCUGAACCCACUGUACAAAUGUCAACAACUGCAAGCAGAUUGCAAGGAGGAUGCAGGAGAAGAGUUACAACUGGGACCUGCAACAGUGCCAUGUGAAAGCCAAGGAGCUGUGCUGCAGCCAUUGUGGCCUUGAGGGUCUCCCUGUCUGCACCUGCAGAACGCCCAAUCCAGAUAAGGCGGAGAAAGAAGAGGACUCGGGAAGACGAAGGUUUCUAACCAUCAGAGGAGUGAAGUUUUGGAAUAGCCUUCUAAGGGAAGCAGUGGGAGCAAAAGACCUAUCUGGCAUUAAGAUUAAACUUGAUACGUUUAUGGAGGAGAUGGUAUGAUGGGAUAACAUGAUUUUGGUAAUUAAUUGAUCUUUAAAUAUUCAUGGUAAAUAGGCCCAAUGGCCUGUGAUGGGAAGUUAGAUGGGGUGAGAUCUGAGUUACUACAGAAAAUUCUUUCCUGGGUAUCUGGCUGGUGAAUCUUGCCCACAUGCUCAGGGUUUAGCUGAUCGCCAUAUUUGGGGUCAGGAAGGAAUUUUCCUCCAGGGCAGAUUGGAAGAGGCCCUGGAGGUUUUUCGCCUUCCUCUGUAGCAUGAGGCACGGGUCACUUGCUGGAGGAUUCUCUGCUCUUUGAAGUCUUUAAACCACAAUUUGAGGACUUCAAUAGCUCAGACAUAGGUGAGAGGUUUUUCGCAGGACUGGGUGGGUGAGAUUCUGUGGCCUGCAUUGUGUGCAAGAGGUCGGACUAGAUGAUCAUAAUGGUCCCUUCUGACCUUAGUAUCUAUGAACCUAUGACAUGUCCAGUGAGAUCCUACGAGCCAGUGCUACAUUGGACUGUGAGCACAGCGCCUGGAGGAUGAACAUUGAGGACAGCCUGGAAAAGGAAAGAGUAGAGAGGAGAAAGGUGCAGGAAAAGGAGAGGGAGAUGCACCUGGACAUAAUGGGGCUUCUCAGGCAGCAAACACAGAUACUGCCGAUUCUGGUGAAACUGCAAAUUCAACAAUACUGGGCUUGCCUCCUUCUGCAGCCCAUUGAAAACUUAAUUUUGGGACCUCCCUGUACCACCACCAAUGUUCCAAGUGGCAUCAGGGGCCACUGCACUACCCCCCACUCCACUUCGUGGGACAGUAAAGACAAUCACAGCUUCACAUACACUGAUUUGUGAAAGCCAUCGUCGGUGAAGAUGUAGCUGAAAUGGACGUGAACGUUCUUUCCUCUUCAUACAGUCUGUUCUCUUGAUUUAUUAAGUUUUAAAUAUAUUUGUUUUAAAAUG